CUACGGGUCGCACCAGUGGGGAAUAUUGGACAAUGGGGGAAACCCUGAUCCAGCAAUGCCGCGUGUGUGAAGAAGGCCUGCGGGUUGUAAAGCACUUUCGGUUGGGAGGACUGCUUCUAGCACUAAUAUUGUUGGAAGUUGACGUUACCUUCAGAAGAAGCACCGGCUAACUCCGUGCCAGCAGCCGCGGUAUACGGAGGGUGCAAGCGUUAAUCGGAAUUACUGGGCGUAAAGCGCGCGUAGGCGGCUAGAUCAGUCGGGUGUGAAAGCCCCGGGCUUAACCUGGGAACUGCAUCCGAUACUGUCUAGCUUGAAUACAGGAGAGGAGAGUGGAAUUCCACAUGUAGCGGUGAAAUGCGUAGAUAUGUGGAGGAACACCAAUGGCGAAGGCAGCUCUCUGGCCUGAUACUGACGCUGAGGUGCGAAAGCGUGGGGAGCAAACAGGAUUAGAUACCCUCGUAGUC
rnacentral:rRNA from 1 species